rnacentral:rRNA from 1 species
UACGUAGGGUGCGAGCGUUAAUCGGAAUUACUGGGCGUAAAGCGUGCGCAGGCGGUUUUGUAAGCCAGAUGUGAAAUCCCCGGGCUCAACCUGGGAACUGCAUUUGGGACUGCAAGGCUUGAGUACGGCAGAGGGGGGUAGAAUUCCUGGUGUAGCAGUGAAAUGCGUUGAUAUCCUAAGGAACACCAGUGGCGAAAGCGACUCACUGGGUCUCCACUGACGCUGAGGCACGAAAGCUAGGGUAGCGAACGGG